rnacentral:rRNA from 1 species
CAAGUCGAGCGAGCUUUGCCUAUAGAAAUUCUUYGGAAUGGACAUAKAUACWAGCUWKYGGCGGAUGGGUGAGUAACGCGUGGGUAACCUGCCCUUAAGUCUGGGAUACCAUUUGGAAACAGAUGCUAAUACCGGAUAAAAGCUACUUUCGCAUGAAAGAAGUUUAAAAGGCGGCGUAAGCUGUCKCUAAAGGAUGGACCUGCGAUGCAUUAGCUAGUUGGUAAGGUAACGGCUUACCAAGGCGAUGAUGCAUAGCCGAGUUGAGAGACUGAUCGGCCACAUUGGGACUGAGACACGGCCCAAACUCCUACGGGAGGCAGCAGUAKGGAAUCUUCCACAAUGGACGAAAGUCUGAUGGAGCAACGCCGCGUGAGUGAAGAAGGUUUUCGGAUCGUAAAGCUCUGUUGUUGGUGAAGAAGGAUAGAGGUAGUAACUGGCCUUUAUUUGACGGUAAUCAACCAGAAAGUCACGGCUAACUACGUGCCAGCAGCCGCGGUAAUACGUAGGUGGCAWGCGUUGUCCGGAUUUAUUGGGCGUAAAGCGAGCGCAGGCGGAUUGAUAAGUCUGAUGUGAAAGCCUUCGGCUCAACCGAAGAACUGCAUCAGAAACUGUCAAUCUUGAGUGCAGAAGAGGAGAGUGGAACUCCAUGUGUAGCGGUGGAAUGCGUAGAUAUAUGGAAGAACACCAGUGGCGAAKGCGGCUCUCUGKUCUGUAACUGACGCUGAGGCUCGAAAGCAUGGGUAGCGAACAGGAUUAGAUACCCUGGUAKUCCAUGCCGUAAACGAUGAGUGCUAAGUGUUGGGAGKUUYCCGCCUCUCAGUGCUGCWCUAACGCAUUAAWCACUCCGCCUGGGGAGUACGACCGCAAGGUUGAAACUMAAGGAAUUGACGSGGGCCCGCMCAGCGGUGGAGCAUGUGGUUUAAUUCSAAGCACGCKAAKACCUUACMGGYCUUGACAUCCUUUGACCACCUAGAGAUAGGUUUUCCCUUCSGGACAAGARACAGGUGGKGCAKGCUGYSUCAKCUCGUGYCSUGARAUGUUUGGGUAAKUCCCGCAUCGAGCGCACCCUUGUUAUMGU